GAGGGAAUCUGUAAAAUUCAAUCCAGAUCCUUGAGAAUAAUCUGAUAAUCUGUUGAACACUGUUGGGAAAAUAAUCCAUUUUUCCUAUUUUCAUCAUAAUUAUAUAGAACCAGUGGUCUCUGCAGAAAGAAGAAAAGAACUCUCUCGGUAUAUUGGGAUUCACUCACGUGUCAUAAAGAGUUGAUUGCUUUCAUCUUGAAUCAUUGUGAUAUUGAAAUAUGUAAAAUGGAGGCUAGGUUCUCUUCAGGGUAACCGAGAAGAAUCUCUAUGAAGGUUUAGUUUGUAGUUGGCGUAUAUGGGCAAACCAAUUUGAUUUGGGGUGGGUGGAGUGGGUGUUGUAAUGGCAAUCUAUACUGUUCUGGAAUGGGGAUUCUGCAUAGUUCCGAGACCUAAUGUUCCUUUUUCUUUUUCAGUUUCUGAAAGUUGAUUUGAAUGUGGAGAAUUUCUUUGAUAUGCUAGGUUUACAUCUUUUCCUAUUUUUGACGUGGAUUAGUUGAACGGUAAAAGUAUGGCUUCUGGUGCAGUUUGGCUAAAUGUUGUGAAAAGGCUCUUUUAUUUAUGUGAGUAUACUUCUGGUGUUAGGAUGUAGGAGAGUUCUGCCUGGCUGUAUUAUAUAAAAGAUCUAAUAGAGUUGGUAUUUUUUGUGAGCUAUUAGAUGCAGCAGUUGAAGUCGAGCAAAUUCCAAGCCCUUCUAGGUGUGUAGAUUGUUUUGUUAUUUCCGUAGGUAGAACAUGAAUCACUCUUGAUUUGCAGAACAAGAGUCAGUCUAUAUGAACUGGAUGUUUCUUGGAUGUUAAUCUAGAUGUGAUACAUUCAAAGCAACCUAGGAACUGAUGGAUGAUUUCUCUCUAUAUAAUCUUUCCACAAGCCUAUCGACUUUGUUUUCAUAAACACACCAAAGCAGUUUCAUCACUCGUAAAAACUACAAUAAUAUUAUGUUUACAAGGAAGCACAGUAAUCUCCGUAUCUAGUAGUACUCUCAAGUUGUAGAGCUUGUCCUUAGAAAAGAAGCUCACAUAUAAUGCAUACCAAUAGAACACUUCUGAAACUUUACCGAGUCAAUAGGUAUAUCCUCCGGCGGAAAAUUGCAUUCUGUAAGUUGCUCUGGCCUUUGAUCAGGCAAUAAAUCACACGGUCGAGGAGUCACUCCACUUGUGAUCCCCUCAAUAUCAGUGCAUGUCCAUAUUAUCUUCUUGUGCUUGGCUGCCAUUCCAAUUGUGACAUUAGAAAUACAAAUUUCCUUAAAUGGGUCGCCGGAAAUUCCCUCCAAUCUGGCGGCCAUUGACACAUUAUCUGCAACCAUAUCCCUAUAGCUGAUCCCUUGAAUUACAGGCAGGGCAUUUGGGUCAUAGUUCUUAUCAGCGUGUGACCCAUAAUUUCCAGUCAUCCAAAAGGCCCAUUUCAUGGUGUGCAUAGUCAUUCUCCUUACAUAUAUAUCCUUCACAAAGCCUCCUCUUCCUACAGCAGUUUUGAUCCUGACCCCUGAUUCUGUAUUGAUGGCUGUGAUGUCCUCUGCUCUAACAUCUUGGAUCCCACCUGACAUUUCACUUCCUAGUGCAAUUGUGGCACUGUAUGGAGAAAUGCAUGUGAGCCGUCUGAUUAUUAGUUGCCUUGUGGGCAUCCCAAACGCAAUCCCAUACUCAUCCCAACCGCUCUUAACGGCCACACAAUCAUCUCCGGAGACUAUGUAGCAGUCUUCAAUUUUAACGUUUGUGCAAGAAUCUGAUCAUCAAGAGUAAAUAAUCAAUAUUAAUAUAUUCCUUUUCAUGAAUGUAAUUGAAAAUUGAAGUCCUACAUCUAUUGAUUAAAAUGAAAGACUAAAUGAAAUCAACCUGGGUUGAUGCCAUCAGUGUUUGGAGAUUUGAUUGGAGCAAUGAUGGUAAUGCCUUGCACAAGAAUAUUACUGCAAUUCCAUGGUUAAAAUACAAUGCAUCAUAUUCAAAUGGGUGCAAUUAUAAUUAUAUUACUGAAAAUGGAGUUGCUGAUGUUCUAAUUCGGAGGUUGAAAUUACCUGCUGUAAACAGGAUGAACAUUCCAUGAUGGGGAAUUUAGGAGCGUUAGAUUCGAAAUUUGGAUGUUAUCUGAGAACAUGAACUCAAUCAAGUAAGGUCGGGUGUAUUUGAGCUUGCCCUGGUGAAAUUUCUGCCACCAGAAAGCACCCUGACCAUCAAUUGUGCCAUUAUCCCCUGCAUCAAAUUAUGCCAACCAAAUGUUUAGCUGUUCCUUAGCGAAAACUGACAAAAAUUGCUAUUAAUCUUGGUUUAGUUCUUAAAUAAUUACCUGUAACAAUAACAUCAGUGAGAUUUGUUCCAAAAAUGAGGCUGACGUACCUUCCAGCUGCUGCAUCCCUUCCUCGGCCGUACGAUGGCAGAGGUUUCAGCGAUGGCCAUUCGUUAAUAUUCUAAACAAAUUUAAUGUCAUUAUCAGUACUAAACAAGAUUAGUCCUUUUCUUUAAACGAAUUUAGAGUUUUAUCUAUUUGGUUCUUUGUUCUUUCCCAGAAUGAGCUCAGAACCCUCAACAAUUUCACCAACAUUUGAAUAUGAAAUUUAUCAUGUGAGAAAAGGGGAAAACCUGAGAAGCAAGAAGAACAGCAUCCUUGUGGAGGAAGAUAGUGAAAUGACUGGUAAGGCUGAAGCUACCCGUCAGCCAUUUUCCAGCAGGAACAAAGAGUUGAGACCCACCAUCUGAUGCAUACUGACUCAGAUUAUUAAUUGCAUCCUGAAAUGCUUUAGUGUUGGAUGUUUGGCCAUCUCCAACUCCUCCAAAAUCUGUUAUUGAUGCACUAUGAGCCCUGCAGCUUAUAGCAUUGUACUCAAAGGAGUCCAAAAUCCUUGCUUUUCUGCUCUCUGCUCCUUUCACACUCAGCAAUGCCAAGACUACCAGCACUGAAACUAUAUUAGCCACUCGAGGUUUCGCAGUUCUUAUCCAGAGCAACUCCAUGGUCGAAACUGAAACUUCAAUGGAUGAGGGAUUUGUUACGUGAUGUUAUGGAGACGAAACGGUGUAUUUAUAGUGAAAAAAGCGAUAACUGUAGAUACAGACUUUGGCUUGCAAGGCUGCUUGUCGUUCUUCGAAGCCAAGCAAAGCUAUGCUCUUUUUCGUGCCUUCAUUGGAAUCUUUUUAUGGCUUUGACAUCAUUUUGACAGAAACAUUUCAUCAUCAACAUUAAAAGUGAAUUCCAUAAGGAUUGAAUUAUCAAUUUUUUUUAUAGAAAAAAUUACUAAUUAAUUAUUCUAAUUUGAAGUUCUGCACCUUGGCUUGGCAUUUAGGCAAUAAACUAGUUGGAUUUGAUUAACCUUAAGCAUCAAAUUGAGAAGUAGGAGCCCAUACUCCUCCACUUCCCAAUGUUCAUGCUAGUCAUCAUUACACAUAUAGCAUGUCACUAUCCUACCACUGCCUAUGCUUCCACCUUCACCAUUAUCAGAAAAAUACAUUGUUUUUCCUACUUAAAAAAGCUAAAAACAUGGCCGUUGGACAAUCAAAGUUAGUGGGUUUUCUGGUUUCUAACCAGUAAUUAUAUGAUGUGGAGAUGGAAAUUUCAUCCCAAUGGAAAAUCCUGUGUUAUCUCAAGCCCAUGUUGUCCUAUUUUUAUCUUACCCAUUACAAAUUAAUAGAAUAGGAAUAUAAGUAUUCACUUCACCAUCUCAUUCCUGUCCUGAUGCUUAACGAAACAGGACCCAAGCCACCCAUUUCCACUGGGGAUCAUGGGAUAGGUGGCG
rnacentral:misc_RNA from 1 species